rnacentral:tRNA from 1 species
UAUAAAUUAGUGUAAUGACGCACAAAGAUUUUUGAAGUCUAUGGAAAUAGUUUAAUUCUAUUAUUAUAA